GUGGGCGCCCCUGGGCCAAUGAAGGCUCAGGAAAGAGUCACUUCCGUUCUAGAGGACGGAAUCUGGGCGGCUUUUCCGGCGUCGACUGAGGUCGUUAUUUUGUAAACUCGGCUGUGUUCACAGGCGGGGAACUUCGCAACGCUGUGAAGGCCAGAGGUCAGGGAGCCAGGAAGGCGCCGUGCUCGCUUCUCUGAGCUUCGUCUGAGGCUCGGCGUGGGCGCUAUCCGGCCUGACUCUGUCUUGGGCGGUUGGUGCCGCAGUGCCCGGGCCCCACCUUCACCCACAAACUCCGCUGGCGCCGGCGCAGAUGUGUCUGAUUCAGGGCCCUGUGACCUUUGAGGACGUGGCUGUGUACUUUUCCCAGGAGGAAUGAAAGCUUCUUGAUGAGGCCCAGAGAUUCCUGUACUGUGAUGUGAUCCUGGAGCCCUUUGCACUUGUUGCAUCAUUGGUUUGUUGGUAUGGAGCAGAGCACAAGGAGAUAACUUCUGAGCAGAAUGUUUCUGUAGAAGUGCCAUGAAUAAAUACUUCAGAGACCUGUCCAUCCAAAGUCCUGUCCCUGCAAGAUGUGUAGCCUGGCCUUAAACAUCUGCAGGUACAACCUCCGGAGAGAGCACUAAGCGCGCCCGCUCGGCAAGACCGGAAUGAUCCCGCCAGCCCCGCCGACCUCCCGGAACUCUGCCUCGGGCAUCGCGGCCGAAUCCCAUCCCCUGCAGACGUCGCCCGAGCUCCGGCCGGGAAGGGACAAAAUAAACGUGACCGCCAGAUGGCGCCCGACAACCGGCGGGAACAUUAGCGGGACGGAUCCGGAUCGCUGGCCGGCGAGGGCGCACUGCCGGCCGCCCGGAUGCCCGACCUCGUUAAGUCCCGGCCCACCUCCGAGCUGGUCUCAUGGCCACGGGUUACAAACUCCCAGCUAUAGCAUGUGUGUUUUUGCUUCCUGCCCACUAGUGGAGGUCACUACCUAGUUCUUCCCGCCACUGUGGUCAUAAAGGCACAGCCCCAGUUCCUCUCUGCUUCCUGACACCUGCAUGUGACAGGCUUCAUGUGGCCUUACGUGGCCUGCUGUGCCUGUCGUUUCCUUGGGGAACUUUCAAUGGCAGUAGCCUCUCCUGUCCUCACUCAGUCACCUCCAUAAAUUAAAAUCCCGGGAGCACAUUUUUACACAGUUGUAAAACUGACAAGAGGAUUAUUUAGCUUUUCGAAAGCUUUAUGUACGUCUCAAAGGGACAGAGAAAGAAUUCAGAAUUAGAAGUUUGCUAACGGAAAUGCUCUAAGAAAAGAGAUUGGAGAUUCAUGGCACAAAGCUCCAAAUACCCAACAUUCCGAAAAGGUUACGGUGAAUCCCAGUGAACAAGAUAACACACUGUGAGCAAACAACCCAGUGCCUGCUUGCUUGCAGAUUUUGGCAACCUACAGUAACAUUUUCUUGAAUAUGCAUGCCCCCCAGGCUUAAUACUUCAGUCCAAUGCUUUGAGAGCUAUCUCCCUGUCUCCUUACUUGUCACAAUGCUUCUGCUUUAACUGAAAGUACUUGGUGUGUUCACUGGCUAUGCACCCCAAGGGAAGGACCCACUGAGUCCGGUAACAAUAAUGAUACACCUCAGCACAACUUGGAGGCCCGUGCACAGGCAUCCUGGGGACACUGUGAUGAGGUCUGCAUGCUGACACCCCUCAACAAGCCUACGCACACACAUGCAUUACACCACGUCCACAACAGAAAAGACAUGUGAUAGUCAUGAGACACACAACCAGUGUAUGUGACACACAUUAGAGGCUUGUGGGAAUAGAGAGAGGCGCUGAACUACCACACCAGGUAUGAGGACACAAAUGCACAAAUGCUCCAGGGAGACUUGUGAGACAAGCAUGGGACAGGGAGGCCCAAAAGCCUAGUGUGUGGAUAUACACACAGGAUCACACAAUCAUGCACGUGGACCGAGUGUGACAGGUGGUUUCAACCUGGCUGGGAGAUAAUCCCUGCUCUUCCCCAUCCUAGCACCAUCCCUGCAGGUUUGAUGAUGUGCCAAUGGCAGCCAGAACAGGAGCCGGGUGCUCAUCUUGCCACAACCUGCAGUCUCACACGUUUGAAGACCGAAUGUAAACACUAAAGGUCACGUGAUGGAAGCAAAUCAGCCCAAGCCCUGGUAGCAGAAACCUAUAUCCGAAAUGCCUGCUAACAAGGCCCAGGAAUCACAGUCUGAAGGGGACAGAGUUGGGAGAGGUUAUGGCCUCUACUGGAGGGUCAGUAUGCGUUGAGGAAGUUUCAGGGACAGCGGAUCAAGGAUGGUUUGGCGAAGGGAGGAAUUAUUUCCCUGGAUUGUUAGCCAUUGUUUGGGAAGUUUGUAUUUUACCCAGAGGGGUGAGGAUGAUCAUGUAGCUGUGUUGUCAUCCCAGGUGAGUCCUAAGUCUUUCCUCUUCCUGGUGUUUCUUGAAGUCUUUACUCCUGAGUAGACGGGCGUUUCUAAUUUUCUAUGUGCUGAACUGCAACUACAACAAAGACAAUAAAACACAUAGCUAAGUUAAAUUCAGAAAAACAAACAUGGAAAAGAAAGCUCAUUGCUUAAUUUUAUAAAAGUUUCUUGACUGUCCGGCAGAUCUCUCAUUUCAACAGCAUUUGGACUGAACAGACCCAGGGGCGCCCCUUCCUCCUGACUCUGACCACCCUCCAACCUUUUUUCCAGUCACAACCUUGGAACCACCCACUCAGCUCUCCUCGCCCUCCGGGACCAGCCAACACCACUUUCUGAGCUUAGCUCCUUGUUGCCGACCAAGCAUGAGCUCCCAGAUUCGUCACAAUUACUCCGCCAGGUGGAGGCCGCAGUCACCCGCCUGAUAACGUGCAUCUGCCGCUCUCCCACACCUACCUGUCUCUGCGCUUCUCUUUUGACCCGACGCAUCAGCUCUCGAGGGUGUGAGACAUCGUUUCGCGAAAUGGCCGA